rnacentral:misc_RNA from 1 species
UUAUUGCUCCGCCCCUAGCGAAUGGGGUUUGCACUGUGUACGACCCUCUUGGCUCAAUGCUACCGAGCGUUGUCACCAUGCCUGCCGCCACGCCCCAAAUGUCCCACUGCCCAGAACCCGCUUGUGCGCGUGUGGAAGCUUUCUUAAUAUGUUGGUGGUGCUGCUCCUGUGCUGCUUCUGCGGUCCACUGUAACUUUGGCAGAACAGUGACUCACGGCACGGUCUCUGGGUGAAAACAUAUCCGGUGUUUGCUUCCAUGGGGUUCCAUGACUUGGCACCGAGCCGAAUACGUAGUCGGGGCACCAUAUAAGACGAGGGCAACGCCCACUUUAUUUUCCUGUCUCCUCCUGUUCCGUAGCAACUUUUCUCGGUCAAAAUCUGCUCCUCCGGCUCUUUAUUCUCUCCACUUUGGCCUAUUGUCACCCCACCCAUCCGCUCGACAUGUCAGGCGUAAUGUAAUCCUGUAAGCCCCAUUGUGAGGUUAUCGACCAUGCAGAGUUACGGUCAUGUGACCAAAAAAGAGUACAGAUCACGCGAUCUCGAGGCCUGCGACUGCAGAACGACCACCAGUACUGGAACAGACACAAUACACCGCCACCACCGAACCGAACAAAAGCACCCACCAUUAUUGCCCCUUUGCAACGCGAUUGCGGCAUUGCGCCGGUUUUGGAACUACCCCAACCCUGGAUUAUGCAGCAGUGCGACGAAACGCGACAGCAAUCGGCAUCACACGAGGCUGAUCAAAAGCCGCACUCAAACAGUGUGCAAGGGACAAUGGGCAAAGCACGCAUUGUAGAAUCGUUUGUUACGUAACACAUCGACCACCUCUCCGCCUACCGUGUCUUUAAUUGGCCCUACCGCCCGUUGUAGACUGGUUGUAUGAUGUUGGGCAUGCUUUGGUAUAUUAUCGCUUGUGGCUCCCAAAAUAGUCUAAACAAUAAAACGGCCCAGUCUAAAAGUGGCAAUAGAUCAUUAGCUGCUACUACAAUGCG